UGUGGGUUUCCGGUUUCUUCUCAUAAAAACGUAGGUAGGGUAGGUCGGUUUUAACUUUUUUUUUAAACUUUUUUUUUAAUUUUCCGAACAAGCGGACGCCAUUUUGUUUAGUCAGUGCUUCCACAUCCAAACAUAAAUUUCCCUAAUAUUGCCUCAAAUUUCAAUUUUCCACAAACUUUUUCCUCUAAGUGGAAACACUUACAAGCAUGAUCCAAUAAAAAAAGUUUAGGGUAGGUAGGGUCGUGAAACCGGAAACCCACAUAUUUCUUUUUGGCCUAAUGCGGCAUUUCAGCUGGCUAUCUAUUGUUUUUAAUGCGUUCGGCACAUGAGAAGCGCGACGUUUGAAACAUGCCUCAGCGCUGGAAAUAACUACAGAAACUUGACGGUCAAGUACACGGUCAAACAUUAACAACUGCUCAUGAGGAAAAACAUUAGUAUUUUCCUGUAAUCUAAAUUACUAUUGGAGCCGAGCAUGCGGGUUCCAUCUUAGAUAUGUUUAAUAAAUUUGCAUGGUG